rnacentral:rRNA from 1 species
AACGAACGCUGGCGGCAUGCCUAACACAUGCAAGUCGAACGAGACCUUCGGGUCUAGUGGCGCACGGGUGCGUAACGCGUGGGAACCUGCCUUUAGGUUCGGAAUAACUCAGAGAAAUUUGAGCUAAUACCGGAUAAUGUCUUCGGACCAAAGAUUUAUCGCCUUUAGAUGGGCCCGCGUUGGAUUAGCUAGUUGGUGGGGUAAAGGCCUACCAAGGCGACGAUCCAUAGCUGGUCUGAGAGGAUGAUCAGCCACACUGGGACUGAGACACGGCCCAGACUCCUAACGGGAGGCAGCAGUGGGGAAUAUUGGACAAUGGGCGAAAGCCUGAUCCAGCAAUGCCGCGUGAGUGAUGAAGGCCUUAGGGUUGUAAAGCUCUUUUACCCGAGAUGAUAAUGACAGUAUC